rnacentral:rRNA from 1 species
UACGUAGGGUGCGAGCGUUAAUCGGAUUUACUGGGCGUAAAGCGUGCGCAGGCGGCUUGUUAAGUCGGAUGUGAAAGCCCCGGGCUCAACCUAGGAAUUGCGCUUGUGACUGGCGGGCUCGAGUACGGUAGAGGGGGGUGGAAUUCCUGGUGUAGCAGUGAAAUGCGUAGAGAUCAGGAGGAACACCGAUGGCGAAGGCAGCCCCCUGGGCCUGUACUGACGCUCAUGCACGAAAGCGUGGGGAGCAAACAGG